rnacentral:rRNA from 1 species
UACGAAGGGGGCUAGCGUUGCUCGGAAUCACUGGGCGUAAAGGGUGCGUCGGCGGGUCUUUAAGUCAGGGGUGAAAUCCUGGAGCUCAACUCCAGAACUGCCUUUGAUACUGAAGAUCUUGAGUUCGGGAGAGGUGAGUGGAACUGCGAGUGUAGAGGUGAAAUUCGUAGAUAUUCGCAAGAACACCAGUGGCGAAGGCGGCGCACUGGCCCGAUACUGACGCUGAGGCACGAAAGCGUGGGGAGCAAACAGG